rnacentral:lncRNA from 1 species
UUAGAUUUAACCACGAAUUUGUUAGUAGAGAUGGGGUUUCACUGUGUUAGCCAGGAUGGUCUCGAUCUCCUGACCUCGUGAUCCACCAGCCUCAGCCUCCCAAAGUGCUGGGAUUACGGGUGUGAGCCACCGCGCCCGGCCAUUUUAUUUUUUAGAGACAGGGUUUCCGUCUGUCGCCCAGGCUGGAUGCAGUGGCACCAUCAUGGCUCACUUUUGAAAUUUUGAUGGAAAAUGUUCUUUUGAGUAAAACAAUAACAAAAACCUAAUAGGGAGAUGAGUUACUCAAGUGCUCUAUUUAGAUGCUUUAAUAAUUAUGUGGAUAUUCGAGUUACACAGCAAAUAGCUCAUGUGCUAAUCAUGAAAGAUUGGUCACAGGAAGCAUCUACACACAGAUAGUUCCUUUUAUGACUUAGUUUCUGACCUUGGGGAACCAGGAUAAUAAAAACUACAAGGGUGAAAAGACAAUAACAAGUGUUGGUGAGAAUGUGGAGAAAUGGGAACUUUCGGGCAUUGCUAGUAGGAAUGUAAAAUGGUGCAGCCACUUUGGGAAACAGUUUGGCAUUUCCUCCAAAUGUUAAACACAGUUACCAUAUGAUCCAGCAAUUCCACUCCUAGGUAUACACCCAGGGGAAUUCAAA